GACGAACGCUGGCGGCGUGCUUAACACAUGCAAGUCGAACGAAGAGCGAUGGAAGCUUGCUUCUAUCAAUCUUAGUGGCGCACGGGUGAGUAACGCGUAAUCAACCUGCCCUUCAGAGGGGGACAACAGUUGGAAACGACUGCUAAUACCGCAUACGAUCUAAUCUCGGCAUCGAGGAUAGAUGAAAGGUGGCCUCUACAUGUAAGCUAUCACUGAAGGAGGGGAUUGCGUCUGAUUAGCUAGUUGGAGGGGUAACGGCCCACCAAGGCGAUGAUCAGUAGGCGGUCUGAGAGGAUGAACGGCCACAUUGGGACUGAGACACGGCCCAGACUCCUACGGGAGGCAGCAGUGGGGAAUCUUCCGCAAUGGACGAAAGUCUGACGGAGCAACGCCGCGUGAGUGAUGACGGCCUUCGGGUUGUAAAGCUCUGUUAAUCGGGACGAAAGGCCUUCUUGCGAAUAGUGAGAAGGAUUGACGGUACCGGAAUAGAAAGCCACGGCUAACUACGUG
rnacentral:rRNA from 1 species